rnacentral:rRNA from 1 species
UACGUAGGGUGCAAGCGUUAUCCGGAAUUAUUGGGCGUAAAGAGCUCGUAGGCGGUUUGUCGCGUCUGCUGUGAAAACUGGGGGCUCAACCCCCAGCCUGCAGUGGGUACGGGCAGACUAGAGUGCGGUAGGGGAGAUUGGAAUUCCUGGUGUAGCGGUGGAAUGCGCAGAUAUCAGGAGGAACACCGAUGGCGAAGGCAGAUCUCUGGGCCGUAACUGACGCUGAGGAGCGAAAGGGUGGGGAGCAAACAGGCUUAGAUACCCUGGUAGUCCACCCCGUAAACGUUGGGAACUAGUUGUGGGGUCCAUUCCACGGAUUCCGUGACGCAGCUAACGCAUUAAGUUCCCCGCCUGGGGAGUACGGCCGCAAGGCUAAAACUCAAAGGAAUUGACGGGGACCCGCACAAGCGGCGGAGCAUGCGGAUUAAUUCGAUGCAACGCGAAGAACCUUACCAAGGCUUGACAUAUACGAGAACGCUGCAGAAAUGUAGAACUCUUUGGACACUCGUAAACAGGUGGUGCAUGGUUGUCGUCAGCUCGUGUCGUGAGAUGUUGGGUUAAGUCCCGCAACGAGCGCAACCCUCGUUCUAUGUUGCCAGCACGUAAUGGUGGGAACUCAUGGGAUACUGCCGGGGUCAACUCGGAGGAAGGUGGGGAUGACGUCAAAUCAUCAUGCCCCUUAUGUCUUGGGCUUCACGCAUGCUACAAUGGCCGGUACAAAGGGCUGCAAUACCGUAAGGUGGAGCGAAUCCCAAAAAGCCGGUCCCAGUUCGGAUUGAGGUCUGCAACUCGACCUCAUGAAGUCGGAGUCGCUAGUAAUCGCAGAUCAGCAACGCUGCGGUGAAUACGUUCCCGGGUCU